rnacentral:lncRNA from 1 species
GGAGGAGCUCUAUGACACCAGCCAAUCGCUCGAAGGUCACCUGUUGAGCGGUGUCAAAUAAUACCGCCCCAUGAUCCUUACACACCCUCUGCACCCCAACACUAAGACAUGAUGCCAGCAGACACAGGUCAUGAUGGCGUUUAGGUCAGAUUGGGGAAGUUUGGUCAGCAGCUCUGUAGUUUCAUAUAGAGCUCCUUCGCCUCUCAAACAACACUGGGAUUUCACCAGAGUGGAGGGGGAGGAUCUCCAUCCAGUGGGUGUGUAGUGAUGGGGGCGACAGGGCUUGUGGUGUCUUCAGCAACAGUGGCUCUGAACCUGUCCAGCAGGGAGAAGAACCGCUGAUGCCUGACAAAAGAAAGAGAGAACGGGGAGAUCUUCAUACCUACAUUGACAAAACAAACAGAUGAGAGUGGAAACUGCGAGCUGACUUACCUUUGUGCGAGACCACUGGUCUGCAGGGUCUCAGCGAGCAGCAUCUCCACACGUCUGCAGGCCAGAGUGUCCACCAUGCGGGCAAGCACACGGAACGGCGUGUUCAGGAGUUUGUCCACGUACAGCAUUAGCAGAGCCCCGGACUGACUGAGAUGAAUGCCCUCCAGACACUGCAGGGUCUUCUUCAGCAUCACCGGCUGGACAGGAACACAUUGAACACCAAAUUACCUAGCGAAGGUUUCCUCAGGAGGGAAGCGCGGUGUCUCUCCGUUGGCAUCCUCCAUGGCAACAGGCAGAGUUUCAGGAGGAGCGGGCACAUCAUCGUCACACAGUCGACGGAUGGUUGGACAGGAGAGCAGGUACGGAGACAGUGAAAGCUCCUGAAUUCGGGACAGAAUGAUGUCCUCGGUGGACUGGGAGAUGAGCACACGCAGGAUGGCCAGAAUCCCAGACACCCACAAUUGCACUGU